GUGAGGAGCCUGCGCUGCCUGCCGGUGGAGAAGGAAGAAGGAAGAGUCCAGGGCGGCGGCCGAAUGCUGGGCCUGACUCCCCUCCUCUCCUCAGCACUCACUCCCUGUGGGGCAGGUGGCCUGCUGACCUGGGGAAGGCCGUGGGAGAGGGGUCCUGAGGCUGAGCUGGGGACUGCCCGAGGGGCGAUAAGGGCCCGUGAAUUGGCCCUCAGCAGGCUGCAGCCACCCACCCCCCAUUCCUGAAGCUCCCCACACACCCCGGAGUCCCCUUCGUCUUGAGUGGAGGGUGCUGCAACCAGAGCGGCUCCUGGUUGGCGAGCUGCCCACUGAAGGGACACAAUGGUUCCGAGCCCCUCCCCCAGCCUGGAGUGAUUUGUCAUCUGGUGGAUCCAGAACCCACGGCAGACCUUGAGCUUCGGAUUGGCUCAUGUACUCUCAAGAGACCUCUCCUGGCCUGUGGCCAGGGUCCCUGUAGCAACUGGUCAGCUCUAGCCUGGAGCUGCGUGUCGACCGGCUCUGGGUCCAUCUUCCAGUACAGUGUUGGAUGGUCUAAUUGUGAAGCUCCUAACACUGUCUGGUAAAGAUGGCCCCCGGGCCGGUUCCCUCAGCAGUGACCUUCAGGGAGCCCUGAAGACCAUGGAGGCCUUCUGACCAACAACCUCUGACCUUUACCCUGUGGCCGGGGGUGUAAAUCGCUAGGAAAAGGGAAACAAUGGGGAAGAGACAAAAUGGCUGCCUCCAGGGUCACAGCAGGAUUUGAAAACAUACUUGCUUUCCAGGAACCUCUACUUUUCCUGCCUUGGGAAAAGAACAAAAUAAAGUGUGGAUGGGUACUUGUUGCA